rnacentral:rRNA from 1 species
AUUGAACGCUGGCGGCAGGCCUAACACAUGCAAGUCGAACGGUAACAGGAAACAGCUUGCUGUUUCGCUGACGAGUGGCGGACGGGUGAGUAAUGUCUGGGAAACUGCCUGAUGGAGGGGGAUAACUACUGGAAACGGUAGCUAAUACCGCAUAACGUCGCAAGACCAAAGAGGGGGACCUUCGGGCCUCUUGCCAUCGGAUGUGCCCAGAUGGGAUUAGCUAGUAGGUGGGGUAACGGCUCACCUAGGCGACGAUCCCUAGCUGGUCUGAGAGGAUGACCAGCCACACUGGAACUGAGACACGGUCCAGACUCCUACGGGAGGCAGCAGUGGGGAAUAUUGCACAAUGGGCGCAAGCCUGAUGCAGCCAUGCCGCGUGUAUGAAGAAGGCCUUCGGGUUGUAAAGUACUUUCAGCGGGGAGGAAGGGAGUAAAGUUAA